rnacentral:lncRNA from 1 species
AACGAACAGACUGAGUGAUGAACCAGUAAAAACCAAACCAUAGUUCAGCUCCAAGCAUUCCAAUCCAAACAUAUCUACCAUUUUCACCUGAAUUUGGUAUAUUACAAAGUCUAUAAAUCCAAAUCAAAAUAAUCCCACAAAAGAGUGAAGUUGCAAAUAGCCUAUAUAAUAUCCUUCCUUUUCCCUUUUCUGUCUCAAAUAAAGGCUCAUACUUUAACUUUUCCAUAUGAGUCUCUCUUUGAGGAUUAUCUUCCUCUAUUCUUAUACAUAUAUAACAGUUAUUUAAAUAUAUUUUUUCAUUAACAAAGAGAAUUCUUACGUUUGUGGUGACGUUUUGAUGAGUCUGCACGAAUUCAAUUAUGACAACUCGAAAUGAUUAAUUAUUACUGUUUCAAUUUGUCUGUAUUAUUUUUUAUUUCGGACCACUUUUCAUCCGUAAAUAUUUAAAACAUACAAAAUUAAAAGAUAUUUUAAUACCUUUAAAAUAAAUUUCUACUUUCUAAAACUUAGUACCGAGUCUGACAAUCAAUUUGAAACAUAAAAAGUUGUAAUGUUUUUGAAUAUUACAAAUAUUAUUUUUCAAAAGCUGAAAAAUUAUAAAUUAUUGUAAUAAAGUAAUUUAUCAAACACAAUUUUAUUUUGUGUGUAGAUUUCCAACUUAUUUUUUUUAUAAAAUACUUCUUAAAGUAAGUAAAAUUUUAAAAGUUUAAUCAUGUUAUUUUAUACGGAAAAUAGUAGGAUCCCCAAAUAUUUGGUAGCCACUAGUUGCUCAAAUAAAAUCUAAAAUAUAUAUGGUGGAGGUCUUCAUGUGACUACGACAGUUUUGUCCUCUACAUUUAACAAAAUAGUAAUCACUGCGUUUUACGUAAUUUAUUGUCUCUUUCUUAAAUUUAACAACUCUUCAAAUUUUCAAAUAACAGCCUUUUAAUAUACUGUAUAUGUUUUUAAUUUAAAAUUUAAAAAAUAUAAAAAUCUUUUUAUUUUUAUAAAUUAUGUAGCAAAUAAAACUAAAACAAACAAAAAAAAGUGGAAGUAUGACCGACCAUAUUCAUAAAUGGACCCAAUAGGCCAAAAUUAUUUAACAACUAGAUAGACAUGGUCGUGCUUAGCACAGCCCAACAUGUUGGAUUUUGCGACAUCAUUUUAUUUGCUACAAGUAUACAUUUACUUAGUAUUUUUUGCGCCAAUAAGAAACCAUCCUCUCAAUUCAAGAUCAAAAUAAGUAGCUUUCGAUUAGUUUCUAGUAAUAUACACGAUAGUCCCACCUUAGAUUGUUAAUCUCCACAAUAUCAUCACAAAACUACAUAUGAGUAGCUUUACAUCACCUUCAAAAUGCAAAUAAACACCAAUUAAUUUCAAGUUAUACAACAAAAAUAGCAUGUCCAGUAUAAUCGCACAAGUGAGAUUUAAAAAAGAUAAGAGUGUACACAUACCUUAACCCUAUCUUGAAAGAUAUAUAGACUAUUUUCAAUAGGCCUUGACUUGAGGAUUGUAGCAAUGCAAUCAGAGGCGAAUCUAAGAUUUCAAGAAGACGGGUGCACCAUUGUUAUGGACGGCUUUGCCCCUUUAAGAAAAAGACAACUACUUUAGGCUUCCAAAUUUGAAGGACCUCAAUUAUUUUAGCAAUAACAAAUAUUAGCUUUUUUCAUAAGAAAAAUAUUAAAUACGAUUUAUAAAAAAAAAAAAUUAUAUUAAGAGAAAAAAUUAUUAGGAGAAAUUUGAUAUACCUAGAGUACUAUGUCGCAAGAAAGAUUAAAUGCAUUGGUUAUAUGAAUUAUUGAUUGAAAAAUAAUUAUUAAAAUAAUCUGAUUAUUAAAAAAUAUACAAUUUUGCAUCUCAAGAAAUUUUAAAAGUAGACUUUAUAAAAAGAAUAUUAAUUUUUCUCAAAAGUUUAAGGCCUCAGUUUGAUUUUUUUCUCAGACAACUUGUGUGUUUGGGCCGUCGCUGAUCAUUGCACGUAAGAUAAGAUCUAAAAUAUUAUAAUUGAUUUUGCUAGUUUGCUUACUAAGAAUGGUGAUUUCAAUUGAAAGAAGGAAAAAAAAAUAGGUUUUUCAGCUGGGAAGUUCGUGUUUUUUUUGAAAUAAAAUGCUUGCAAUGGAACCUACUUUUAGAUUAUUUUUUUGUAAAAAUAAGAAGUAAAAAAGCCAUGCUGCAUUUUUUAUUUUAAAAAGGCCGACUGCAGUGCUUUUAAAAAAUUUUAAAAAUAAAUGUUGCAAUGGAGAAUCGAUCCAUCAACCUCCCAGUGGAAAACAACCACCCAAACCAGUGAGCCAUCUAGCCAUUUGUGACCAUGGGUUCCUUCAGUUGCAAUUUGUUAUAUUUUAUGAAUUAUACAAGUAGAUAUAUCGAAUUUGUCGGAUGACCACGGGUUUCGGUGACCCAUUUUUUAAACUUAAAUUCGCCCUUGAAUGCAAUAAUGUCAAGAAAUUUAGAAUGUACAUUUUUAUAAAAAUAAAAAGCACUUAUAUAAACUCAGGGAAGGAAGGAUCAACUUUGGGAGAGAAGGGGUCAGGUACUUUGCUAGAAUACAAAAAUAAUACAAAAUACUGUCAUAAUUGAAUACUGCAGCCUGCAGGACAUUUAUAAACUACUUGUUACCAUUAGACAAUUGAUUUGAAAGUAAGAUUAAGUUACUUUCAGAAAGCUUUCUUUACCUACAAGUCAUCAUUUGACCAUAUUUUGGAUUCAAAUAAGUGAACUAAUGAAUAAAAGACUAUUUGCCAUAGGUUCAAAAACUUACCGCCAGCCAAGUUAUAGAUUAAAUUAAUUUUUUUUUUUAACUUUGCCUAUUUCAAACAUGUUUUGAUGUUGUAUCAUCAUAAAUCGAUAAUGUACCAUCAUGACUCCACAAGUGCUUGCUUAUUUUACUGUCCUUAUACAACCACCGACUACCCUUAUGAAGGUCGUGGUGGUAUGAUGUAUUACAGCCUUUGCAAGCAUGGUUUUUCCAGUGCCUUGUGGACCAUAGAGCAACACGACACAGGAAGGAUCUAUAGCAAUUUGCUUGUACAAUCAUGAUGACUCAGAGGUAACUCAACGGCUUCACAAAUUUCCUGCUUUUGUAUAUCGCAUCCUCCAAUAUCAUGAUAAAAAACAUAAGCUCAAAGACUAAGAAAUAAAUAAGGCGUAUGAGAUAGUGAAUAAAUAGUAGGAAAUGAUCUCCAUCCAUAAAUCGUGGAAGAUGGUCUCUUUAGCAAAAUCAACUUCAAAUUAUACAUAGUAAAAUAAUAUGAUUUCUAUAUUCAAAAUUGAAAAGAAGGUAAGAAAAAUUUAUUUACCUUUGGAACUUUACGAACCAUGGAAAUCUACAGAUGUGUAAAGUUGAAUAUGACAGAAAUAGAACCAUAUCAAGAAUAGUACAAUAAGUUAAAAUGCAAAGAAUGAUGUGCGGCAAUUUCAAUAUGGAUCCAGUUAAUUUUCAUCAAAUUACUUUUUUUAAUUCAACAAGAAUACUACAUUAAAUACUGAAACAAAUUAAAGGAGCCCAUAGUUUAACCUGCAUAUAUUAGACUGAGAAGGAAAUUGUUAAUACAAAAGUAGUGUAAGAGAGAUUAAAUAAACUUUGCCAUUAGACAUAUAAAACAUACAGUAAUCCAUUAAUUACUCAAUAUGCAUUUAUGCAAAGAAUCUAUUUUGUGUUCACAAUUAAUUUGUCAAACAUUACUGAUAGACUCAUAAAAAUUAAGGUCACCAUUGUAAUGUUGUUUAGAGGCCGGCGACUUUUAUGAGUUAUCAUUGUCUAAAAACAACUUAAUAGAAUCUUUUAAUCAGCGUUAUGUAACAAGAAAGUAAUCUAUAAAUUUAACAGAACGAAGUGUGCAUUGUUUAUCUUAGUCAUCUCGUACUCUUACCUCUAUCCAAAAAAUUAAAGGGGUAAAAUACGUAAUAAUUAAAAACCAACGCAAAAAAAAUAAUUAAGAAGUAAUUCAGCAGGAUAAACAACGAAUGUUCUAGAUAUGUUGACAUAAUAGUUCUACCAAAUGUUCAUCUGAACAUGAAAAUACUUUUGAAAAUUUUACGAGUGAUGAUAGUAUUUAAUUCAAAACGAUAACAAUUUCAAACUACAGAUAGAGUUCAUACAGUGGUUAUGAAAAUAAAGCUCUUUGAGAUGAGAUAAAAUAAAAGACAUAAAUAUAAUAAGCUAGACCACAACAUCUUUUAUGCCCCAAAAGAUAAACCAAAGUUCUAAAGUAGUAGUCACUACAAGCAUCUUAUAACACAUGCACAAUAAUCUCAAAUAAUUUUUUUAUGUGCAAUGACAUCAACAACAAAAUCAACUUAAGCAAAGAAGAAAUUACAUAUGUAUUGCAAUUUCGACUCUAUGGACCAAUGCAACUAAUAAUGUAUUGUAGUAUAGGUAUGUUCAGAGUCCUUUUGGCAAUGUGCACACAACUAACACUACAAAGGCUCUUAGAAUUUCAACGUCUGAUUAACUACUUCAUUCCCCACUCAUGUUGUUUCAAGUCCACUCUAAGUCUUCACGAAUGCCAACUUGGCACAAUUUUCUCACGUGUAAUAUAAAGAAGCACUUUAUAUUAUCAGUCUUUUGUCGGCUGAAGUUACAUUGAAGGGAGGGUUUGAAAACACAAAUUAGAAACAAAUGAUAGAGAAAUAAGAGAUCAAGUAAGACGAACCUUUCAUGUAUGUACAUACUAAAUGAAAGCAUAACCUUCAAGUUUAGAGGUUGACUUGUUUGCAACCAAACUAUUCUGAAAAUUGGGGGAUUAAUGAAAAUAAGGCUAUUAGUGUAAUCAUUAUGCUAAUAGCUAAAGAUCCGAAGUAUGAUAAAGUCUAAAGUUUGGGGAAGGCGAAAGGAGAAAGAGAGAAAAAUUAAAAAGGGAUGCCAUCACUUGCUUGUUGCUUAUAAAAUCUAUUAGAUUUAAUUUUUAGUCCUGUAGUUUGUGAAAAAACUUGUUUUACUUGUCAUUUAAAUUUUAGAUCCAUUGGAGCAGUUCAACUUGAAAUUCUGAAACUUUAUUUCCUAGAUUUUUUUAUUUUAUUUUUAUAAAAGUGACAGUUAGUCUAUAUUUAUCCACAGGUAUACUACCUCAAAAGUGUUGUAGUUACAUAGUCUCCUAUACCUACCAAGAUUUCCUAGAUUUUAGAAGGAUAGUUAUUGUUUAUCAAAGUAUAUAAAGGGAAUUAUUGUUCAACUAUUUUAGCAUAGUACUGAUCGACCUUGAAGUUUACAAUGCCCCUCCUACAUAUCUAGUUGCUAGACACCUAAUUGAUCCGAUCAUUUUCUCAUUCUUCAACAGGACGGAAUAGGAUUGUAGCUCAGAACACAAGCAAUAACUCACGUAAUAUCAUACUUAUGAGAAAUCUAAAUGCCUGCAGAGUUAGAAGAUAUGCCGGAAUAUUUCAGAGUGUUAUCUAAUUGUCACUGUCCAAGCCACCUUGCAUUAACCAAGACAAUAAAUCAACACAGGUAUUUGGCAACUCUACUCACCAACCUUAAGAAAAUAGGGGAAAAAAUAUCUAGAGUAUUUUGAUCUUCAUGAAGACGAACUAUGAUCUAAUUCCUGGUUAUCACAUAAUCUAGCUAAGGAAUCUAUUUUCUCACCACUCUAAAUAACACCUAAUUAAUCUGAUCAUUCUCUCAUUCUUCAAUAGGACGGGAUAGGACUGUAGCUCAAAACUGAAGCAAUAACUCACAUAAUAUUAUUCUUACAAAUGCAUGGGGAGUUGGAAGAUAUGACGGAAUAUUUUAGACCGUUAUCUAAUUGUCACUGUCCAAGCCACCUUACAUUAACCUAGACAAUGAACCAACACAAGUAUUUGGUAACUCUACUCAUCAACCUUAAGCAAAUAGGGGAAAAAAUAUCUACACUCUUUUGAUCUAACUCCACUGGAAUUUGAACCUUCCAAACAUUCAAGUGAGCUCGUGAAAACAUUUUCCUUCAUACCAAACACACCCUAUUAUGUACUGAAUUUUCACCGGUUAUUAAUUUAAUUUCAUCAAUUUCCAACGGCAUAUUCAAUGCAAUUCCACAAAAUGGACUCUGAAGAAGUUAGAAUAUACACAGAUUUUACCAUUAUAGUAGAGGUAAGAAUUCUGAUAGAACUUUAUCCCCAACUUCAUCAAUUUCAAAUUUUAAGAUCAUUAUAUCUCUUUCAUACAUUUCAACAAAAAUAUCCCAAAAGUUGUAGCAUCUACGUUUCUUUGAAUAAAGUUCAAUUAUUAGUAUAAAGUUUACUUGCAUAAAGGCUUCAAGUUUUUUGAAGAAAAAAGAGACCAUGGACUAAGCGAUGACGAAUCAUUAUCAAGGCGGAAAAUUUCAUUGUUUUGAAUGAAAAUUUGCGUUACAGAGGGAGUAAAGAGAAACCAUUAUAUACUAAAAAAUGUUUCAACUCCCACGACUUAAAUUUGUGAUCUCUAUUUAAAGGUAGGAGGGAUUUCAUAUGUUUCAUCUACAAGUGAAUUUAAAAUUUGAAAUUUAUGUAAUUCUAACCACGAGCCAGACCGGAUCAAAAGAGAUUUUGAAAGGAGAGUGAAGGGGAAAAGGGGGCAACCCUCAGCCGAUCAUCCAAUUCGCUCCAACAGAUAGUCAUAGUCCCCAUUUAAACGUGUAAUAUGAAAUCAUAAUUUUGAUCAUGAGCAUUUAAAUAUGAAACUUAGUUGCACGCUUUCAAAGUAAAUUGGAGCUAGUGUUAACCGGGUCAAAAUGGAUUUUGAGUCUAACUCAACCCUGAAAGUUAGCUCAUAAGAAAAGGAAUGUCCAAGGUCAUAUAAGAAAACCACAUAUCCCUAUUUCAUCCGACGUGAAACGCUUCAACAAUUACAUAUAUGCAAUACAUGUGCAAACAGAAAGGGCAAAAACAACUGACUGAAAUGCAGUGGAACUAGGUAUUUUCCCCUUAUCUUGCCUAAAGAAGAGAGCAUUAUACAAAGGCAAGUUAACAAAAACAAGAAUCCCACAAAGCAAAAUUUGCAAAGCCAUAGUUUCAAAUACAUAUUCCAAUCCAAGUUCUCUUGUCAAUAUCAAUUUUUUCACCAACCCCAUUAGGCAAAAAAGAUUGAUCAUUGCCAGUGUUGACAAAAUUGUAAGCAUAGGUGAAGCACUUCCAAAUUCCAUUUUCUCUUGUUUGUAUCUCAAUAACACAUCUUCACUAGUGACUUUUGGAGUGACUAUGAAUGUUGUAUUGGAAGAACCAAAUAACUUCAACAUUGUAUCAAGAAAGGCAAACAUGUAGGAGCUUGUUCUCUUGUAAAGCCAUAUUCUUUGUUCAUUCCACCAUCCAAGAAUUGUUCCUCCGCUCCACAGGAACUCAGCAAAACUAUAUAUUAGUUCCGCGAUUAGCACAUAUGCAAAUGGCAAGAACCGUUUGCUGGAGACCUGAAAGUUAAGACCAAAAGCAAAAUUUGUCAAAUUUCUUUUGUCAACCGGUGAUUCUGCUUUAUGUUUGUUAAGAAAAUGUGAUGAUAAAGAGGCAAAAAAUACCUGUGGAAAUAGGGGAAUUCCUUUGAGUAGACAAAACGAAGGGACGAUAGAGUAGUACAGAGUUGCCCAGCAAUUCGGAGACCAGAGGCAGUAAAUGAGAUAUCCCAACACAAGGCCAGGAUUGAGCUUUCCAAGUCCAUACCAAACAGGGCUAUACUUAGAAAACAGAAUCAUUAAAUCGCCCUCGGACCAUCUCUUAUGUUGCACUAAUAUUUGAUCCAACGUUGUUGCAGUAACCCCUACAAAGGCAUCCCUUUUUGGACGAUAAUAAACAGAUUUCCAACCUUUACACUUAAUUGUCAACCCGGUCAGUACAUCUUCGACUGGGCACCCGUACUUCAAACCAAUCUGCCAUGUUAAUAAAGUUCACUACGAGUCAGUUACUAAACUGUGUGACCAUCUCAUCUAAAAUUUGAAAUGCAGAUGGACAUACCUCAUUUCCCCAUUGAGUGUUGUUUAAGUCGUACGUUGAACUAGCUAAUCUUUCUAGUCUUUCUUCUAACUCGUGCACGUUUUCUUCCAUCUUCUCAGGACAUGCACUCUUCAAAUCAAUCCUAGCUUCCGUGCUAUACUCUCUACCGUAAAGGGUGUCUCUCCUAUGAAAGCAGCCAGUUCCAGUAUACAAAGGGCCUCCGUAACCAUCAGCACCGUGGAAUUCCACCUUAGGUUGACAUAAAAGUAACGAUACGAAAAUUACAGCAAUGAAUAUUCAUCAACACCAUAAAACCAAAUAGAGAUGUACAGUGUACUAACCUCAUCAAUUACUCUCAGAGAACCAUAAACUUCAUUUUUAGUGGCAUUUCCGAAAGAUUGUGGAAAUUGCACAAAAGCAAUUUCACGACUUCUUUCUUCAUCCAUAAAGAAGCAAAGAGCAUCUUGAAUCGCGUUUGAGUUGUUCGAGUACAUAUCACAAUCUACAUUCAGAAUUACUGGCGCAUUGCUGAUCUCUGAGGACACCCUGAGCUGAACAUUGUAAUCAACAAAAUCAUCCACAGGUUUAUUCAAGAUUUCACUUAUGUGAUGAGCAACUGAUACUAGACUUACCAAUGCAUUCAUCGCCCCGUCUUUGAAAUUAUGGAAGUGCUCAGGAUGCUUCUCCCGAGCCACAUAGACCAACGUUGGCAGUCUUACUCCGUCAAUGUCCUUUGUCUCUUCAUCUCUGUUGUCGAUUAGUAUCUAGUAUGUGAAAGAAAGCAGACAUAUAAGAUAUCAGAUAUGUAAAGUUGCAUUUAUUCUAUCCACAUGUGAUAGUCAGCAGCAGAGCUACCUUUAACGAAAAGAGGAUUCAAACAUUCAAUUGAAUCCCCUUCAUCGGAAAAUUAUAAAAAAAAAUUGUGUAUAAAUAAAUUGUUGAAUCUCUCUAAACAUACGAAACGAGUACAUAGCCUAACUUGAACCAAUGUUUUUGUUUCUUUUUUGUACCUGCAAGAUAGCAGUAUGGUUUUUCUUGGAUGAAUAUGAAUUCCAUUUGGAAAAUCCUUUGUAUUCUAAUUUUGCUUGAUCUGAGACUGUCCCAGCCUUGCAUACAACAUCAAUUUUGUUUGCCAUCUCCUCGUACAAUCCCUGCAGUGUUAAGAAAAGACGUUGGCUAUCAAUAUCUGUAUAUAUACCUCAGCAUUUAUGCUUGACAUUCAACAGUUUUGGAUCAAUAAGUUUUGAUAAACAAAAUAAAUUCUUUAAAGAACAGGCAAAUCCUGAAAUAAGAGUAUUUGAUUGAACACCGGAGUUUAAAAAAGAAAGACGGACUUUUGGCACAUACCAAAAGCAUCUUCAGAAUUUUAAGGUCUUAAACAUGCCAUGAUAGUUCUAUGACUAUAAGAGCAUGAACGCGUCUUUCUUUCUGAAACAAACUAUAUAGAAGUUCAUGUCAUAUAAACGGAAACAAAUGGAGUACCUUCAUUUUGGAAAAAUCUGCAUCAGAUUGAUCCGAAACAGACAGAGAUGCAAAAUAAGCAGCAGGAGACCUCGGCUCAACGUUGAACUUCUUGCAAUAAGGAAGCCAAUGCUUUGCAAAGCGAGAAGCUUCUAACAAGGCAUAAAAGGUAAGCUCGGAACCAGCAUCAUCCGAGAGAUAAACACUGAGCUUUUCUGGUGGAUAAUUGUAAGCCAAGACUGAUAAAACUGUAUUGAUCACCAUAAUUGGUGGCUCUAUUACAGGAUCAGCUGUGCACACGAAUACAUCAACUCUCGGCAACUCAUUCUCAUACCUAUUUUCUUUCAACAAGACAUAAUAAAUGUUAACAAAGCUAUGUUCUCUCUAACACCUUGAACUUAAGCUUUUAGACGAGAUCGUCACACAAUUCAACAUGGGCACUAGAGCAGGCAAUGUUUUGAGUUCAAAUUCCACCUCCACUUCCAUUUAAUUUUUUUCUUUUGCAUGCUUGAUCCAUGAAAGACGAGUUGAUAAUGUAGUUAAAUGAAUAACGAGUGUUCUGUUAUAUCUAACAGUUCAAAUGUUUAGACGAGAAGAUCACACAAUUCAACAUGUUUAAUUAAGAGCAGACAAUUUGGUUCUGAAUUCAAAUUCCACGUGCACUCUUAAUCAAAAAACAUUUUUUUCACAUGUUUGAUGACAUAUAAAACAAUCAGGCCUUUAUACGAGGGGCGAGUUGAAAAUAUAAUUAAAUGAAUUAACGAGUACUCUGCUCAAUAAACUACAGCAACAACUACACCUUAGUCCCAACACAAGUUGGGGUCGACUAUAUGAAUCUAACAACUAGUAUGCCUCAAGCACAAAUAAGUUGGGAUCGGCUCUAUGAAUACUCACUACUUCAUAACAGCUCAAACUAUGUCGUCAUCAUAAAGGAGUUCUCAGCUGAUCAGUAAACAACAACAACAACUACGCUUCAAUCCCAAACAAGUUUGGAUCGGCUAUAUGAGUCCCCGUGGUUCAUGUAAGCUCAACUCAUCAUCGUCAUAAACAAGCACUCAAAAUCAACAAACAACAACAACUACGCCUCAAACCCAAACAAAUCGAGAUCGGCUAAAAGAAUCAGAUCAUCACUGAUUCAUUAAAACUCACUCAUGUCAUCAUUACAAACAAGUGCUCAACUCAAUAAAAAAUACAACAAUUACGCCUCAGUCCCAAACAAAGUUGGGAUCGACUACAUGAAUCAUUUAAAAGUCAACUCAUGUCAUCAUAAUAAACAAGUGCUAAUCAGGUCAACUAACAACAACAACUGCGUAACAAGUCGGAAGCAACUAUAUGAAUCAUCACGAAUUCACUAAACCUCAAUCUAACAGAUUAAACUUUUAGAUGAGAUCGUCAUAACAUACCUCAUUAAGAGCCUAUCUCGAAAUGUAUGACGAUAAAUUCUGUUCCAACGAACAGACUGAGUGAUGAACCAGUAAAAACCAAACCAUAGUUCAGCUCCAAGCAUUCCAAUCCAAACAUAUCUACCAUUUUCACCUGAAUUUGGUAUAUUACAAAGUCUAUAAAUCCAAAUCAAAAUAAUCCCACAAAAGAGUGAAGUUGCAAAUAGCCUAUAUAAUAUCCUUCCUUUUCCCUUCUCUGUCUCAAAUAAAGGCUCAUACUUUAACUUUUCCAUAUGACUUAUGAGUCUCUCUUUGAGG